rnacentral:sRNA from 1 species
AAAAUAUGAAGCUUUCGAUUUGUUAUUGAUAUCUUAAAUCGCGACACUGUUUGGUACAUCGAUUAGCAUGGUAUUGGCAAGCUGAUCAAGAUAAUAUUUACACAUUUACAAAUACUGUUCGCAUUUGGGCGAUAGACCGACCUUACGUUAUGGGCGUAUGUGGGCGUUAUAGUAGGCGAUCACCCCUGUUAUGUAUGUAAAAUACCUCGGUAGUUUAAAAUUUUUCACUAUAUUUGUUGAAAAACUAACGACGCCUACACUCAGAAAACUGAAGAACGAAUAAUUUAAGAACGAACGUUCUUAAAAAUGUACCGUGUCGUACUUAAAAUUUUUAAGACAACCGUUCUUGGAAUAAGUACUAGUUGUACUCGAAUUACACAUUUCAAAAGCGAUAUUAUUGAUACUCAUGGAAAACAAAGGUUUAUCUUUUCUCAUUUAUGUAUAUUCCUUGAUCAUUUUAUACGACCAAUUUUAAAAAAAUAUAAAAAAAAAAGAGAAGUUUUUUUAAAAAUUUAUGCGAUUGAAAAAUCUCCAGCCAUUCGACUUCUUACACUUGUUAAUAUCGAUUACAUUUCUGUGUUGUUAAAGAACCAUAUGUUUUUUCGAUAAUCGAUUGCAACACGGCGCUCAUUUAGUGUCAAAAAGUUCCUGGGGUAACAAGUAGAAAGUGAAUUAAGUGAAAUAAUUGAAGAAUAAUGUGAAAAUGGGCACGGUGUGCAGGUUAAAAAUCGACUUCUGGGAAAUAUACCCAGAGAAAGAGCAUGCAUUGGUUUUGAAAUAGGACGACCUGAAGCCUUUACGAUAGGAAGAUUAAAAACGAUCUC